AUACUGGAUACGGACGUCCGCCUGGGUGCUUCUCGGUAACACGAAAGGAAAAAGCCGCCGGGUGGCGAGUUGUUGACCUAGCCCUCGGAGCGUGCUUUGUUGGAAACAACAACAACGCAAUCCGACCUCAGAUCAGGCGGGAUUACCCGCUGAAUU
rnacentral:rRNA from 1 species